rnacentral:sRNA from 1 species
CACACACACACACUCUGGUGAAUAUUCACUGAGAAUGUGUCCAGUAGCAUGUCCAUUAGGCAUCAUGGUAGCUAAAACCAUGUGUGAAGAAAUAAACAAUAAAAUCAUCUUAUGUCAAAUAAGCCUUGUGUUGAAAUAUUAGAAAAACCUUAAACUUUUUUUUCAGCUGAUAUUAGUUGACCAGAUAAUUAGACAAAAAGUAAGAGGAAUAGAAAAAAAAAAGAAAUUUCACUCAACUUUUGAAAGCCUCUUUAAAAAGCUAAGAUUGGAAACAGUUUAUAGUCUGCGUAGUUCCCAGGCAAGAGCAGAAAUGGCAGCGGGCACUCCCAGUGCCUUCAUCAGGUAGUAUCGGUAGAUGAAAACCUCUGAGAGGCCGGUAAGAUGUCCUGGUGUAGGUGGAAGGCAAGGAGUUAGGAAGAGAUAAAUUUAGAAUACCAGCCUCAAGCAAGAUGGUUGGAGAGCCUUGCAAACAAAGCCGGGAAGAUUUGGCUUCGUUCUGUAAUGGAUGCAAAUGGAGCUGGUGAGGUACUCUCUCAUGCGAACCAGCGUUGGAAAUGCUACCGGAUAAUAGAAAUAUGUAGAUUUGAAGUGUUUCCCGCUUGAGGAGGAGGUGUGAACGAAGUGAGGCGGUGCUCAGUAAGUGCCUUUGUGCUUCCCAUUUUCCCAUCAAUGCUUGUCAAGGGGACGCCAUCCCUGUUUCCAGGUUGGCACAAAGUCUCCAAAGCCUACUUUUUUUUCAUAAAUAGAGACACAGAAGCAACAGAAUUUGGGAGCUGUUUUUCUUUAGGGGCUGCAGUCCUCACAGCCCCGCAGUCAACCCACACACGAUGUCCAACUUUUGAGGUGCGUAUUGUUAUUAGGGUGAAUCCAACACUACCUCCUCCAUCCACAGCUGCAAGGGGACAUUCUUGGCCUUUCUUGUUCUUCGUCUUCGUAUUGUGACACUUACAUCCUCCAUCCGUAUUGGAUAAUCAAUAUUGGCCGUCAGCGGAUUGUUUCUCCCUCUUCCCACUGGCCUGCCAGAGUUAAAUACCACAGAGAGCAACUUGACUCGUCGUUAAAUAUCUCCAAAAUGCUUUAUUGAGGAGAGAAAGGUGAGUUUCAGAGAAAUAUACUUGCGCUAUAAUUUUUAAGAGGAUUUAUUUAUUUGCAUUUUGUG